rnacentral:rRNA from 5 species
UACCAGCACCCCGAGUGGUCGGGACGUUUAUUGGGCCUAAAGCAUCCGUAGCCGGUUCUACAAGUCUUCCGUUAAAUCCACCUGCUUAACAGAUGGGCUGCGGAAGAUACUAUAGAGCUAGGAGGCGGGAGAGGCAAGCGGUACUCGAUGGGUAGGGGUAAAAUCCGUUGAUCCAUUGAAGACCACCAGUGGCGAAGGCGGCUUGCCAGAACGCGCUCGACGGUGAGGGAUGAAAGCUGGGGGAGCAAACCGG